rnacentral:rRNA from 1 species
AUUGAACGCUGGCGGCGUGCCUAACACAUGCAAGUCGAGCGGUAACAGGUGUAGCAAUACAUGCUGACGAGCGGCGAACGGGUGAGUAAUGCUUCGGAAUCUGCCCAAUGGUGGGGAAUAACCAGCCGAAAGGUUGGCUAAUACCGCAUAAGUCCUACGGGAGAAAGCAGGGGAUCGCAAGACCUUGCGCCGAUGGAUGAGCCGAAGUCGGAUUAGCUAGUUGGUAGGGUAACGGCCUACCAAGGCGACGAUCCGUAGCUGGUCUGAGAGGACGACCAGCCACACUGGGACUGAGACACGGCCCAGACUCCUACGGGAGGCAGCAGUGGGGAAUAUUGGACAAUGGGGGAAACCCUGAUCCAGCGACGCCGCGUGUGUGAAGAAGGCCUGCGGGUUGUAAAGCACUUUUAGUGGGGAUGAAAAGCUCAGGGCUAACACCUCUGGGUCUUGACCUAACCCACAGAAAAAGCACCGGCUAACUCUGUGCCAGCAGCCGCAGUAACAC